ACACCCUCUAUUCGCUUGGAUUUGGCAGCCCUCACCUUGGAUUCUCUUUGUAUCCAGCACGCAUGGCAGCAGAUCGCUGCAGCCAUCCUUCUCACCUGGGAAGGAGGAGAUCCAUCAGCAGCAGCCCAGGGUGAAAUGCUGGAUCGACAUGAGGUACCCAUGGUUUUUUCAGAUUUUUUUGAUGAAACGGUGAAGAUGAAGAAGGAAAGCAACCGGAACGGGCGAAGAGAGGUGGAUAGGAAGUAAUUCUAAAAAAUACUGUAUUAGUAGAUUAAGUUGCAUCAGAAUAUAUAUGGAGCUGCUUAGUUCACAUCAACAGUUGCAUAAAAAUGCCUGGAACAUAUUUUUGCUUUUUUAACAGUUGUCCAUGAAUCACACUAAAGUUGCCUAUGUUAGAGAAUAUAUAUAUUGUCUCUACUUGUUGUUUUUGUGGGUUUUUUUCGCACAAGGGUUGCCUGAUAUUACUGCAAGGAGCUUAUGGGGCAGCAACCCCUCUUUUAAUGCAUGACACUAGUUGCUUCAAAUUUUAAAAGAGUUGUCCGAAAUCAUAGCAAAGUUGCUGCAUGUAUUUUUACUUUUGUUUGGGGGAUGCAUGCUACUUUUUAAUGCAAGGAACUCAUAUGGGGCACCAGACCUUUUUUACAUGCCUGAUAGUAGUUGGACUCAUUGGAUGGUUAAAAGUGUCUACAGAGGCAGAUUCCGAUAUUUGGGGCGUUUUGGUGAUCCACGUUGGAGCUGACCUUAUGAUAGGCGAUUUAAAUGUGAAGCUAGUCAAUUGAUAGUCAUGGUAACCAACUUAUAAGGAUCCUCCGUUGAUGGGUAGUCAUACUAGGUGGAAAAAGGAGUUGCUUUUCUAUAACACUAAAGUUGCCUCUACAACACAUAAAGUUGCUUAGAAAAAAAAGUUCGGCGAAACCUACUCACAUGGGAUCUAGUUUUGAAGAACUCAUCACGAGAAACCCAACGGUGAAAACGGAUUUGAAUUUUGAGAUUCUAUUCAAAAGUUAUAAGUUUUUAAAGUUUUUGAUCCCCUAAUAAAUGCAGGUGUGAUGGAUAGCGUGAGCACAUAGGACCUGACAUUUUUGUGUGUGAACAUGGCGUGGUAGUUUUGACAGUUUUUUUUAUUCGCAUGCGAGCGAUCCUCACGUGAUUCGCGUAGGGGCUGUCCUUUCCUUAUUCGGCUGCAUGGUCGCGCGCCGGAUGCCCCUUCCCUUUUCUGAUAGAGCUGCGAUCGGGCGGCCGUGCGCCCGUGCGCCAGCGAGCCGCGACGUCCACACACAACCGGCCCUAUAAUAGCGCGACGGAGAUGUUACGCGAUUCGCAGAAAACUGAAAAAAAAAGCCCACGAACAGAGCCCCCAGUCAACCUUAUCCCGCACCACCACCACUCGUUCGCCUCGCAACCGGCUCCACCAACCCUCGACUCGCCGCCGCCCCCGACCGGUGCCGCCACCGUCCGUCGCCGUGGAUCGCACCGCCGCCACCGUGUCUCGCUGCGGAUCACGCCGCCGCCACCGUCCUUCGCUUGAAUCGCGCCGCCGCCACCAUCCCUCGAUGGAGAGCGCCCCCCGCUCGACUGCCCCCGCCCAUGGGUCCCGCCGCCGGUCUCCUCCUGCAACCCCGCCGCCACCGUUCCCUGGACCCGGCAGCCGCUCCGCCACCCGCCUCGGAUCCGGCCAUGGCGCCGCCCCCCACCGCGGGAUCCGGCCGCCGCGACGUCACCGUCCAUCGCCCAGUGGUGCAACACCCAACUCACGGAGUUCCCCAUCGCCGCCGACACUCCGGCGAACUUCCUUGCCACCUCGCGGUGGACCUCUCCCUGCUGCUCCCGCGACCUUCGCCAGCGUACUUCAACCCCGCGGGCAGAGUCCCCACUCCUCCCACACCGCAAUAGAGCAUGGCUUGCCCCACGGUCCGUUCGUCCUCGGCGUCCCGCCAUGUUCGCUGCCGAGAUGCCAUCUCCCUGUCCACAUCUGAGGAUCCUUCGUUUGUCCUGGGGUAUUUCCCCGCCGUCCGUUGUCGAGGGCGACUGCGGCUACAUUCCCCGCUGAUGAGUCGCACUGCCGUACACUUCAACCCCGCGGGCAGAGUCCCCACUCCUCCCACACCGCAAUAGAGCAUGGCUUGCCCCACGGUCCGUUCGUCCUCGGCGUCCCGCCAUGUUCGCUGCCGAGAUGCCAUCUCCCUGUCCACAUCUGAGGAUCCUUCGUUUGUCCUGGGGUAUUUCCCCGCCGUCCGUUGUCGAGGGCGAUUGCGGCUACAUUCCCCGCUGACGAGUCGCACUGCCGUACUUCCUCAAGAUCCAUGUCGUCUUAGCCUAUAGGGAAGCGGCAGGAAUUCGUACUACUUUUACAUUUAAGAAUUGGAUCCGUGAUGAGCAUCCACACAGUGUGCCUCUGUUCCCAGGAGGAUGCAGCGGCAGUCGGAUUUGCUUCGUAAAAAAUUGUAUUUGGAUGAAUUCCUACAAAAAGAAUGUUUGGCAGGUCAGAUACAAAAUAAACUGAAGUUCAAAAAGAUAGCAGACUGGGAUCGAAAAACAGGAGAACUUUGUAACAAAAAAUAGUAGUUGAACAAAGUUUCUACGGCAUAUGUAGAAUUAGAUCAAGAAGAAAAAAGAUAACACUAAAAGACUCUACGUGAUGCACAGAGUACUAGUUGUACAUGUAUUGGGCAUGUACAAAUUGGAACAUCUACUGUAGGAGUGUUUGGUUUUUACAUGUAUUUCCUUUUGUUUCAAGUAGUACUACUACUCCACCAGCCAAUUGUAUAUUAUUCUUUCUUCCGGUGAAACGUUCAGUGCGACCGCCGUA